AUGUAUAGUCAUUACAUGUAUUAACAAUAUUUUUUAUUUGUACAUAAAGGUCCAACUGUCCAGUGAUGAUCCUUUUCAACAAGAGGAUGCACCAACUGAAACUCAGGAUAUUACACCCGGUCAUGAACCAGAAAAUGAAAGGGAACAGGAUGUUCAAGUGUCAAAUUGCCCAGUGCAAUCCCAGAAGAACAAACAAUUCAAAGGACAAGAUAGAGAUUCCAGGCAGGAGAUCAGUGAAUGAUUGCCAUCAUUUCCUUUGUUUAAUAUUGUUUUAAAAUAAGUUUGAUAAAAGCUGCAUGAUCCAGGAUGCUGAAAUAAAGUCAUGUAUGUGGAAAUGAUUUUGAUGGAGAUAUUUUCACAGUUGUUUAAAGACUACUGGGGUUAGGGAAAUCAAAAGUACCCAAGUAUUAUCUCUAAACAAAACUUAUUUCUUCAAAAAUAUAGAGUAUUUUCAAGUUAA